rnacentral:rRNA from 1 species
UUUGAUCCUGGCUCAGGACGAACGCUGGCGGCGUGCUUAACACAUGCAAGUCGAACGAUGAAGCCUAGCUUGCUAGGUGGAUUAGUGGCGAACGGGUGAGUAAUACGUGAGUAACCUACCUUUAACUCUGGGAUAAGCCUGGGAAACUGGGUCUAAUACCGGAUACGACCAAUCUCCGCAUGGGGUGUUGGUGGAAAGCGUUAUGUAGUGGUUAUAGAUGGGCUCACGGCCUAUCAGCUUGUUGGUGAGGUAACGGCUCACCAAGGCGACGACGGGUAGCCGGCCUGAGAGGGUGACCGGCCACACUGGGACUGAGACACGGCCCAGACUCCUACGGGAGGCAGCAGUGGGGAAUAUUGCACAAUGGGCGCAAGCCUGAUGCAGCGACGCCGCGUGAGGGAUGACGGCCUUCGGGUUGUAAACCUCUGUUAGCAGGGAAGAAGAGAGAUUGACGGUACCUGCAGAGAAAGCGCCGGCUAACUACGUGCCAGCAGCCGCGGUAAUACGUAGGGCGCGAGCGUUGUCCGGAAUUAUUGGGCGUAAAGAGCUUGUAGGCGGUUUGUCGCGUCUGCUGUGAAAGGCCGGAGCUUAACUCCGUGUAUUGCAGUGGGUACGGGCAGACUAGAGUGCAGUAGGGGAGACUGGAAUUCCUGGUGUAGCGGUGGAAUGCGCAGAUAUCAGGAGGAGCACCGAUGGCGAAGGCAGGUCUCUGGGCUGUAACUGACGCUGAGAAGCGAAAGCAUGGGGAGCGAACAGGAUUAGAUACCCUGGUAGUCCAUGCCGUAAACGUUGGGCACUAGGUGUGGGGGACAUUCCACGUUUUCCGCGCCCGUAGCUAACGCAUUAAGUGCCCCGCCUGGGGAGUACGGCCGCAAGGCUAAAAACUCAAAGAAAUUGACGGGGGCCCGCACAAGCGGCGGAGCAUGCGGAUUAAUUCGAUGCAAACGCGAAGAACCUUACCAAGGCUUGACAUAUACUGGACCGCAUCAGAGAUGGUGUUUCCCUUCGGGGCUGGUAUACAGGUGGUGCAUGGUUGUCGUCAGCUCGUGUCGUGAGAUGUUGGGUUAAGUCCCGCAACGAGCGCAACCCUCGUUCUAUGUUGCCAGCACGUUAUGGUGGGGACUCAUAGGAGACUGCCGGGGUCAACUCGGAGGAAGGUGGGGAUGACGUCAAAUCAUCAUGCCCCUUAUGUCUUGGGCUUCACGCAUGCUACAAUGGCCGGUACAGAGGGUUGCGAUACUGUGAGGUGGAGCUAAUCCCUAAAAGCCGGUCUCAGUUCGGAUUGGGGUCUGCAAACUCGACCCCAUGAAAGUCGGAGUCGCUAGUAAUCGCAGAAUCAGGCAAACGCUGCGGUGAAAUACGUUCCCGGG